GUUGCAUUCCUAUCUUUGCCCUGAUCUGAGGUAAAGGCAGAAUAAUGUAACCAAAUAUAGCACACACAGCAGGCAAUGGCAAAAGUACCAAGGGAAAAUAGUUAACUGAGGUACAUGCUACAGCCACUGCUGCAUGUGGGAGAGAAGAAAAUAGCACCUAUAAAUACAUACCCAUGACAACACCAGGAAACCAAAAGAACAUAUUACGGGUAUUAAGAUAAUAAUGAAGUGAACCUCCCCCGUUAAUUCUGUUUUGAACUCAAGCAUCUGCCAUAAGCAAUUGUUAAUCUUUCAUAACAGCAUCUAGUGCUGAAUUAAAGCUUUCCAGUAAGAAAGAAUGGACCCACUCUUUAGGGAGCUUCUGACCUUCAAAAAUAACAAUAAUUUAGAAAUUGUCUGAACUUUUUUAUGCCAAUCCACAUAAAACUGCAAAAGCAACAGCAGAAUGCUCUUCUUUCUGCACAGCAGUGCUGAAAGGCAUUAGUUGCAGAGCCACUUCAUCAAUUAUUGAUCACAUGCUACAUAAUUUCUUUCAUGAUUUUGCCUAAAACUCAUGACAGGCUAAACAAGGUCAUGGUUAUCCACAUUCAAGGUUUAUGGCUACUAGCAAACAAAAAGCUCUUUUCUACAUCUCCAAAACUUCACUAGCACUAAGAACAAGUAUCAUUGACCUUCAUAUAGGCCUAUGCCUUUGAAUUGUCUUUUGAUUGUCUUUGAAACAUGUAACUCUGUUAAAGUUUUAUUAUUUAACAACUAUUAAGUGCCAUUUUGAAAUUCUAUCUGAAUGCUGCUGAAAGAAAUUUCUACAUCAAUGUAAGAGAAAGACAUCAACCAACCUGCCCUUUUCCUGAUACACUGAAGCAAUAUUUAUUAAUCAUAUUUAUUCCAUGUUCUCUCCACAUUUUUUUCAUUCUUACCGUAUAUUGUCUGUUGCUGCUUUGAUUCCCCUUUGAUCCCAGGUCACUGAAAAAACUGAAAGAUUUUUCUUGUGGUGUUGGCCCAGGAUGCCUCUCAGAUAACUUUUACAUUCUUUUAUCAAUGUCUGCAUUUUCUAACAGUUAUGUUUUAUUCAUGACUAUCAUUUUCCCCAUUUAUUUUACAUAAACUAUAAACAUUGGUACAUGCA